rnacentral:rRNA from 1 species
UACGUAGGGGGCUAGCGUUGUCCGGAAUCAUUGGGCGUAAAGAGCGUGUAGGCGGCUCGGUAAGUCCGCUGUGAAAGUCCAGGGCUCAACCCUGGAAUGCCGGUGGAUACUGUCGGGCUCGAGUCCGGAAGAGGAGUGUGGAAUUGCCUGGUGUAGCGGUGAAAUGCGCAGAUAUCAGGAGGAACACCAAUGGCGAAGGCAGCACUCUGGGACGUGACUGACGCUGAGACGCGAAAGCGUGGGGAGCAAACAGG